rnacentral:rRNA from 1 species
CGGGGCUUUCUCUGAGGGUACAGUCAUAUACCGAUCCAAUCGGUACUAUUCUUCUCCUCUAACAGGAGUUUACAACCUUACGGCCUUCAUCCUCCACGCGGCGUUGCUGGGUCACCCUUGCGGGCAUUGCCCAAUAUUCCUCACUGCUGCCUCCCGUAGGAGUCUGGACCGUGUCUCAGUUCCAGUGUGGCUGAUCAUCCUCUCAGACCAGCUACUGAUCGUUGCCUUGGUAGGCCAUUACCCUACCAACUAGCUAAUCAGACGCAAGCUCAUCUUUAGGCAUUACUCAAACUUUAACAACAUCACCAUGCGAUGCCGCUGCAUUAUCUGGUAUUAGCCUCGAUUUCUCGAAGUUAUUCCAGACCCAAAGGUAGAUUGCUUACGUGUUACGCACCCGUGCGCCACUUUACUAAAGAUAUUGCUACCUCGUUCUCGUAGACUUGCAUGUGUUAAGCACGCCGCCAGCGUUCGUCCUGAGCCAGGAUCAAACUCUAAUCGAAUUCCCGCGGCCGCCAUGGCGGCCGGGAGCAUGCGACGUCGGGCCCAAUUCGCCCUAUAGUGAGUCGUAUUACAUUCYGGG